GACGAACGCUGGCGGCGUGCUUAACACAUGCAAGUCGAACGGAAAGGCCCUGCUUUUGUGGGGUGCUCGAGUGGCGAACGGGUGAGUAACACGUGAGUAACCUGCCCUUGACUUUGGGAUAACUUCAGGAAACUGGGGCUAAUACCGGAUAGGAGCUCCUGCUGCAUGGUGGGGGUUGGAACGUUUCGGCGGUUGGGGAUGGACUCGCGGCUUAUCAGCUUGUUGGUGGGGUAGUGGCUUACCAAGGCUUUGACGGGUAGCCGGCCUGAGAGGGUGACCGGCCACAUUGGGACUGAGAUACGGCCCAGACUCCUACGGGAGGCAGCAGUGGGGAAUAUUGCACAAUGGGCGGAAGCCUGAUGCAGCAACGCCGCGUGCGGGAUGACGGCCUUCGGGCUGUAAACCGCUUUCGCCUGUGACGAAGCGUGAGUGACGGUAAUGGGUAAAGAAGCACCGGCUAACUACGUG
rnacentral:rRNA from 1 species